rnacentral:lncRNA from 1 species
CGGUAAAAGGAGCUUGGUCUCCACAGUGACCAAACACAGAAAAGGAGGCAGGGCAACAAGAGCAGCUGGCCUCCAGAGAUUGAGAGUGAGAGAGAGAGGUGUAGAGUGAGAGGGGGUGUGUGAGGAAAAAAAAAAAAAAAAAAACUGAGAGUGAAUGAGUGUGGAAAGACAGCGCCAGAAGAGAGCGGCGGAGGGGGAGUGGAGGCAGAGAAAGGGGAGAGACUUACUGCCAGUGCAAAAGACUAAGGAGAGAGAGCAUAGUAGAGGAGGUACACAGACUCUCUCAGAAGACGAGAGCAGCACAAAGAAGCAGAAAGUGAACACAGACUUUUAAAGAGAGAGAAACUGCUGGAAACUGCCAUACUGACAACUGACAACCCAGUGAACUAAAGAUACAGAACCUUUAAAAGGACAAAAUAAAAUCUUUCAGUCUGGAAAACUGGAAUAAGCUAAUUAGAUGAGGUGAAACAGCGUAGAGGAGACCACACAAAGUAUAGGAAUAAGAAGAGGGGGAUGGUGAAAGAGAGUUUUUAAUGGACAUUUGAGAAACUUUGAGAAAAGUGGAUAAACUCUGUACUGAAGUUUGAGAGACUGAUACAUUGCCAAACUCAUUCACUCCAAAAGAACUUUUCAGCAUUGCAGAUAUUCUGGGACUAAAGUUGGCUUUCAGGGAAACCUUUGGGGUCUCUUCAGACAUUCACGUAAGUAACAUGAAGCAGGAGAGGGGCCCAGGACAGAUUGAAUGAGAGAAAGGGGAGAGAGACAGGGUGGGGGGAGAGGAUAGAGAAAAUAAUGAGAUGGGGGAGGAUAGAGAGUGAUAGACAGACACAGAGAGAGAAAAGAGGGGGAGAGAAACAGCAGAGGUCAGGUCAUUCCUCAGAGUAACCCUGGCAAAUCAAAUGUUAUUGGUCACAUAUUUAGCAUAUGUUAUUGAGGGUGUAGCAAAAUGCUUUGUUCCUAGCUCCAACAGUGCAGUAAUAUCUUAAUUCACAAACAAUACAC